rnacentral:rRNA from 1 species
AAAUUGAAGAGUUUGAUCAUGGCUCAGAUUGAACGCUGGCGGCAGGCCUAACACAUGCAAGUCGAACGGUAACAGGAAGCAGCUUGCUGUUUCGCUGACGAGUGGCGGACGGGUGAGUAAUGUCUGGGAAACUGCCUGAUGGAGGGGGAUAACUACUGGAAACGGUAGCUAAUACCGCAUAACGUC